UACGUAGGGAGCAAGCGUUGUCCGGAAUCAUUGGGCGUAAAGCGCGCGUAGGUGGCCUCAUAAGUCCGCUGUGAAAGUCAAAGGCUCAACCUUUGAAAGCCGGUGGAUACUGUGGGGCUAGAGUACGGAAGAGGCGAGUGGAAUUCCUGGUGUAGCGGUGAAAUGCGCAGAUAUCAGGAGGAACACCGGUGGCGAAGGCGGUUCUCUGGGCAUGUCCUGACGCUGAGGAGCGAAAGUGUGGGGAGCGAACAGG
rnacentral:rRNA from 1 species